rnacentral:rRNA from 1 species
GUGAAAAAGAACCUGAAACCGUGUACGUACAAGCAGUGGGAGCACAGGUUUACCUGUGUGACUGCGUACCUUUUGUAUAAUGGGUCAGCGACUUAUAUUCUGUAGCAAGGUUAACCGUAUAGGGGAGCCGUAGGGAAACCGAGUCUUAACCGGGCGUUAAGUUGCAGGGUAUAGACCCGAAACCCGGUGAUCUAGCCAUGGGCAGGUUGAAGGUUGGGUAACACUAACUGGAGGACCGAACCGACUAAUGUUGAAAAAUUAGCGGAUGACCUGUGGCUGGGGGUGAAAGGCCAAUCAAACCGGGAGAUAGCUGGUUCUCCCCGAAAGCUAUUUAGGUAGCGCCUCGUGAAUUCAUCUCCGGGGGUAGAGCACUGUUUCGGCUAGGGGGCCAUCCCGGCUUACCAACCCGAUGCAAACUGCGAAUACCGGAGAAUGUUAUCACGGGAGACACACGGCGGGUGCUAACGUCCGUCGUGAAGAGGGAAACAACCCAGACCGCCAGCUAAGGUCCCAAAGUCAUGGUUAAGUGGGAAACGAUGUGGGAAGGCCCAGACAGCCAGGAUGUUGGCUUAGAAGCAGCCAUCAUUUAAAGAAAGCGUAAUAGCUCACUGGUCGAGUCGGCCUGCGCGGAAGAUGUAACGGGGCUAAACCAU